UAGUGCUCUAAAUAGGGUAUCUGUUUGUCUUUCCUUGUGUUGAAGGGUGGAGGAUAUCUCCUGAGAGCACGGGACUUCCUGGUGUUUGUGUAGGGAUGUAGGGAUUGGGUUGGAUGCAACAGCGAUUGCACUGCCAUGGUUGGCUGGAAGUGGAGAGGCUUUAAGGAUCAGGAGUUUGGGUGUUUCACUGUAGUCCAAAAAAGCACCACAUACUGUAUGUGUCUGAUAGAGUGCUACUUUGCUCAACUCAUCUGCCAUAGACAUUCAUUGGUGGACACAAAAGUAAGAAGAGGUAUACAUUUUUUUUAUGUUUGUCAAAGUGUGUGUAUUAUGGAGUUUUAAUGUAGGUUUAGACAAAACAUCUCCUGUGCAAGCUCUAAUUCUAUGCACUUUUCUAGGACACUAGACGGGGGCUCGUCUCAGCCUGAAGUCAGAGAGCCAGGAAACAAUCAACACAAUUCAAUAAUCACCAGCUAGGACUGUCCGUUCAUAUGGAGUCAAGGCAUUUCUCUGGGUUUAUUUACCUUGGAUCCAAUUCCAUUUGCUUUUUAAUUUCAUGGCCAAGUGGACCUCCCUGACUUCCUGGCCUUCCACCCGGGGUCGAAUCCCCCCUCCCUUUCUCUGCCUUCCCUCCCCCUGAAAACACAAACUGCGGGCACAAAGGUCACGCCACUCUCCUACAAGCCACACAUACACACGAUGAAGAGGUCCCUGGCUGCAUACUCACACGGACGCACGCACGUAUGCAUGCACGCACACACACACACACACACACGCAAGCACUGUGCGCACACACUUACAGAUACAGCUGUCCCAGAUACAGCUGUCCCUGGAUCACUUUGCUUGUUUCCCCUGACAUCCUCCAUGUAAGAAACACACACGGCUGUGGCUAUCAGUCGAGUCUCUGCACAGCAUAAAGAUGUCAUCGAACAGCGACUGUAAAUCUCACUUAAAGCAUUGUGAGUCUUCCUAGGGAGGAGGAUGUGCUGUGUCACGAGGCAGAAUACAGAGUUUCCAGCACUGUGACAGUUUAAAUGCACAGGUUGAGAAGUAGCAGUGGAUGAUGGUUCUGGAGGCAUUAUAAGAUAACCAUGAUGGAUGAUGGUUGAGAGGAUGAGGUCAGGAAGUUCCUUGGGAUCAAGUCUACAUUCUGUAACACAGCAGAUUGUGAGAGGAAGCCACAACUCCAGCUACUGGGAGACCAUGCUGACUCCAUGCUGACUCUGAGAUCUCCACGAUCCCCUACUGACUGAAUGGGUAAACUCUCCCGGUGAACCUGGCUCCAGUUGUUUGUGUAUGUAAUAUGCACUGCAGGUAUGUGAGGGAUGUUUUGGUUUCUCCGCUGCUCUUUGCUAAAGCCAUUAUUUUGGGGGGAGAGUUGUCAUGGUGAUCCUUAGCUUGAUGCUGCUGCUAAUUCCACAAAGUUUAAGUAGAGAAUGAAAAGGAAAUCAUUCAAUGAAAGGUGUUGGUGUGCUUCUAUGUGUGUUAACCAUACACUGCACUGCACUUGUUUUGGGGGCUUUUUUUGUUUGGCACCCUAUGAUUCAUAUGAUGGUAUGAGACAUGGUAUGAGAUGUACUCAACAUGAGACUCUAGAGACAUAACUGAAUUAUAUUUGAUCAACCCAAUUAAUUAUUUGUAUAUGCCAGGAUUAAUAAUCAACUCUUCUGCUGAUUGGCUACAACAGGGACAUGACGUUUCCUGUAUUGAGUAUUUCCUGUUCAGCUUAUUCACUGACAUUUGGCCCUUGGCAGUCAUAGCAAUUCCUAUCCUCUCUCUCUCUACAUUGUGCUAGGCUUUUUCAUUCACUGAAAUGCUUGUCCAAGGUGUCUGCCAGAUGCAGACAAACCUUGCAACUCAAAUGGCACCCUAUUCCCUACACAGUGCACUACCUUUGAUGGGCUCUGGUCACAAGUAGUGCACUACAUACGGUAGGGAAUAGGGUGCCAUUUGGGAUGCACAACAGUCAUACAUAGUUAUAGUAAUGAUAACAAUUAUGAAGUCUAUGCACUUACUGUGCCCCCUGGCUCCUCCUGGAGACACUGAUCUUUAACAUAGAAGCUUUGUAGUGUGUGUGUGUUCUGUGUGUGUGUGUGUGUACGCAACCUGUAACGUCUAAGCUCUGUAGUAGCUGUUGAUACUGUAGAUGCUGAGGGAGUGAUUUAUCUGCUGCACUGCUGGUGCUCCUCCUGGGAGCAGUCCGUCUGCUGUGAGGAGGCUGACUUUGACGGCUCUAUACACUUUGACUGAAUGAUAUCAGAGAUUGCAUCUCAAAUGGCACCUUAUUCACUAUAUAGUGCACUAUGUAGGGAAUAGGGUGCCAUUUUGGAUGCAGACAGAGUCCCGAUUAGGCUCCUGGGUAGUUUAACCACAGAACAGACCAACUGGCACUGUCGAUGAUUGAGCCAAGGACGUUAGUCUUGGCAAGAGCUGUGAACAUUUAAUGUUUCUAUUCCCCCUGUGUGUUUACGACAAAUGGAUUUGGCUCUGUCUUUCAUUAAAUAAAUAUAAAAUCUGAAUAUAAAAGUUCAAGACCCUGCUGGAGUCGAAGACCCAGGUAUGAGUUUUUCUCUUCUUUCAGACUUAGUAUUUAAGAGGCAAUCUGGGAUUCAGACAACAACAAAGCUACAAAGUCACUGUUUUAGUAAACAGCUGAGGGAUGGGCCUGGAGAAAUGUAACUAUUCUCAAUUUCAUAGACCGAGCUAUGGAUGCAAGGACUGACUGCAUUUAUGUUAUAGUCUAUGGAUGUAGAUUGCCCCUUUAACAAAUGCUGCAUGUUGGUGUCACCAGAGACCUAUGACUGUUCCUAAUAAAAUGGUGAUGUAAUGCA